rnacentral:rRNA from 1 species
UACGUAGGGUGCAAGCGUUAAUCGGAAUUACUGGGCGUAAAGCGUGCGCAGGCGGUUUCGUAAGUCUGUCGUGAAAUCCCCGGGCUUAACCUGGGAACUGCAUCCGAUACUGGAUGGCUUGAAUCCGGGAGAGGGAUGCAGAAUUCCAGGUGUAGCGGUGAAAUGCGUAGAUAUCUGGAGGAAUACCGGUGGCGAAGGCGGCAUCCUGGACCGGCAUUGACGCUGAGGAGCGAAAGCUAGGGGAGCAAACGGG